AGCAGCCGCGGUAAUUCCAGCUCCAAUAGCGUAUAUUAAAGUUGUUGCAGUUAAAAGCUCGUAGUUGAAUUUCGGGGUCAGCAGGUCGGUCGUGCCAAUGGUAUGCACUGGCCUUGCUGAUUCCUCCCUCUUGAUGAGCCGUAAUGCCAUUAAUUUGGUGUUGCGGGGAAUCAGGACUGUUACUUUGAAAAAUUGAGUGUUUAAAGCGGGCAAGCGCUUGAAUACAUUAGCAUGGAAUAAUGAAAUAGGACGUUCGAUCCUAUUUUGUUGGUUUCUAGGAUUGACGUAAUGAUUAAUAGGGAUAGUUGGGGGCAUUAGUAUUCAAUUGUCAGAGGUGAAAUUCUUGGAUUUAUUGAAGACUAACUACUGCGAAAGCAUUUGCCAAGGAUG
rnacentral:rRNA from 1 species